rnacentral:rRNA from 1 species
UACGAAGGGGGGCUAGCGUUGCUCGGAAUCACUGGGCGUAAAGGGUGCGUAGGCGGGUCUUUAAGUCAGAGGUGAAAUCCUGGAGCUCAACUCCAGAACUGCCUUUGAUACUGAGGAUCUCGAGUCCGGGAGAGGUGAGUGGAACUCCGAGUGUAGAGGUGAAAUUCGUAGAUAUUCGGAAGAACACCAGUGGCGAAGGCGGCUCUCUGGGACGGUACUGACGCUGAGACGCGAAAGCGUGGGGAGCGAACAGG